UGAGAUCAGGGAGACCAAGGAAAGGAAGUAAUUUCAAGAAGUAAGAUGAAGUCAUCAGGAUCAAAUAUACUAACAAUGUUGAAGAAAUGAAAGAAAAACUUCCAAUGGACUUGAGAGAGCAUAAGCAAGGGAGCAGCAGGAAGAUGGAGAAGCAGGUUCCUCACUGAGCAAGGAGACCAAUGCAGGACUUAAUCCCAGUAACCUGGGAUCAUAACUGGAGCUGAAGGCGAACGCUUAACUGACUGAACUACCCAGAGGCUUAAUGCUCUGCAAGUGUCUUACUGCAGCUUGAAUGGAAUCAGCAGUACAAUUCACUUUGAAUGCACAACAGAGAAGAAAAAAAAAAUUCCAGUAGAUGACAUUCUACCUUUGGCAACUUGCAUCAGACUGCAUAGUGUUUUGGAAACUUUCUUCCUUUGAUUAUAACAUGAGCUAGGUACAGUCAAUUUGAAAAAGAAAACAACUAAAAAAUACACUUUGCUCGCCUAACUUAAAAUUUUCACAAAUUUGCAGUGGGAUUUAUUGCUGCAGAAAGGAGACCAUACAGGAGUUUACCUGUGUAAAAAUAUAAUAUUCAUAUAUAUAUUUGUGGAAAUAGCAUACAAGCCACCUAAUGCUAAAACAGAAGUUAUGUUGUUGGUGUUUUUCUUCCUUUAACUCUCCUUUUGAAUGUAUUUAGGCUUUCAAUUACCUGUGUAAAGCAUCUCAAAUCCAUUGCUUUAUUUAAUUCACUUGCAUAGACCUCAUACACAUAUUGUUACUUAGAAAAGAAUAGAAGCCAGUAAAUACAGAAAUGUUAUUAAGUAUAAAUAUAAAAUUUUUAGUAAGAGGGUUCCAAAUGAUUCUACUGUGGCAUUUAAGCUGUCUUCUGUUUUCAGAUUAUUCUCCAUUAUAUUAUUUGUUACCUACUAACAAUCAUUUGGCCAUAUUCAAUCUUACAUUACUUAAGUGAAAUAUAUAUCCUAUCAUCCUUAUAUUCCUGAUCUCAUGCAUCAGUUAUACCUAGAGGAAUGUUUUAUAUAUCAUAAGUGUCCAGUCAAUGUAUUUUAUGUAGAGAUGAAUUUCAACAUAAAUGAAUAUAUCAAAUUUUGUUUUAGGCUUCAGUUUGAAAAAAACUGUUCUUUGUAAUGCAGUUGCAAUGAGCGGGGAACAUAAAAUAUAUGAUGGUAAUAUAAUUUAGUAUCAAAUAAAAUUCAGUAUCAAAUCAAAACAACACCAGAAAUUUUAAGAGAAAUAGGAAAAAUUGGGGCACUUGGGUGGCUCGGGGGGUUAAAGCCUCUGCCUUUGGCUCAGGUCAUGAUCCCAGAGUCCUGGAAUGAAGCUGGCAUUGGGCGGGAGGCCGCUUCUCCCACCCCCUGGCUGCCUCUCUGCUUACUUGUGAUCUCUGUCUGUCAGACAAACAAACAAAUAAAUAAAUAAAUAAAUAAAUUUUUUCAAAAGAGAGGAAAAAAGAAAACUUUAGCAGGGUAGUGUUUCCAGUACACAGGGAAAAAUAAAAAGUAUUAACAUGGUCUUAGAUUUAGCCAAGACACCCCUAUUCUAUUAUUUAUCAUUGAUAAAUGAUAAAAAUUUGUUGUUCACAGGCAGUAACUUACCUGUUUUCAUCUCAAAUAGGUAUUUGAUACUUCUUUUUCCAUCACACAUGGAACUUUUAGUGUAUCUAGGGUGAAGACAGCUAAUUUAAUAAUCUUUCUUAUGGAGUCAAAUACUUAGAAUUUGAUUAUCUUUCUCUAUUUUGGUGCCAAGAGCCAUAAUUUAAACAUACUGAACAAAUCCUACAACAUGUAGCCAUUUUGUAUUUUCUAUCACCAACAUUAUAGCAACAAUGUUCUGUAUGUAUUCUAUUGGAUCUUUCUCACUGUCUUGGUUAAAAAACAAACAAAAAGCCAUUAUCAGCAGAAGUAAUGUUGAUACAUUUGGAAAUGCUAAAAUGAGUACUUGCUGAAGGAUAGUUUCUACAGGCACAGCUUGCAGAACAGCUCUCCAGAGUAGUAUUAGAAAAGAUGGAAACCCAGACAAUUCCUUCUCUAAAUGUUUUAAUAUUAAUGAAAAAAUAAUCUUGAAAUGUAUCCAAUACAUCUUGAACAGUAGUCAUAAGAACAGGGCAUAGAAAACAUAAUUCAAGAAACUGAACAUAAAUUAUAUUUAACUCUAGACUCAUGAUUUGAUAGUCAUCUAAUCCUAAAUUGCAAAAGAAAGGAAUCUUAUUUUAUAAAAUUUAUCUCUGUUAAAGAGGUAAAUUCAACUUAAUACUAUGAUUCAGUAGAUUAAAAACUGCACAAAUGAAGAAGAGCUUUGUAAACUGCAAAGCACCAUAAAAUCAGUGACUUAAAAUUUACAAAGCCCUUUUUGUAUUAUCAUGGGUUAGUUCAACAUAAUAUUUCUCAGCUUUAUUCCCUGUAUGAUGAGGUAUUUCUACACCUGCUCCUUGUAGUAUAUUCAUCCUCUAUCUUUUCACCUGAGCUAUUUGGGCAUAAUUUUUUUACUUUUCCCCCCUCUUUUUUGCAAAAUUUAUUUAUUUAUUUAUUUAUUUAUUCAUUCAUUCAUUCAUUCAUUUAUAUGAGAGAGAGAGAGAGAGAGAGCACUUGCGCUCCUGGGUGAACUAGCACAAGAUGGACGCGUGGCAGAAGAAGAGGAAGAAGCCAGAUUUCUGCUGAACAGGAAGUUGUACCCAGGGCUCAAUCUCAGGACCUUCAGAGCAAUGACUUGAGCCAAAGGCAGAUGCUUACCCAACUGAACCACCCAGGCACUUUCCAGCCUCCCUUAAUCCCCCAAUUUAACUCAACAAGUAUAUAUCUUAUUUUCUUUUUAAAUUAUUUCUCAAUUUCUCUCUAAUAUCUUCCUCAUUUAGAAAAACUCUUUCAACUUAUAUGUAUAGUACUAUAGUUAUCUUUUUCUUUGUUGUCUUUUUUGAAGUAUAAUUGACAUACAACACAAGUUUCAGGUGUAGACAAUGAGUCUAUCAUAUACCAUGAAACAAUCACAUUAAGUCAACAUGUCACCAUACAUAGUUACAAAAAGUUUUUUUUUUCCUUGUGAUGAGGACUUACUACUUUUUUUUGUGUGUGUGUGCUUUUUAUUAACAUAUAAUGUAAUUGGUUUGGUUCAGAGGUACAGGUCUGUAAAUCGUCAGUCUUACACAAUUCACAGCACUCCACCAUAGCACAUAUCCUCCCCAAUGUCCAUCACCCAGCCACCCUAUCCUUUCCUCCCUCCUCCCCUCCAGCAACCCUCAGUUCGUUUCCUGAGAUUAAGAGUCUCUUACGGUUUGUCUCCUUUCUUGGUCCCAUCUUGUUUCAUUUUUCCCUCCCUUCUCCCCACAACCCCUGCCCUGCCUUUCAAAUUCUUCAUAUCAGAGAGAUCAUAUGAUUAUUAUCUUUCUCUGAUUGGCUUAUUUCACUUAGGGUAAUACCCUCUAGUUCCAUCCACGUCAUUGCAAAUGGCAAGAUUUCAGGGUUUUUGAUGGCUGCAUAGUAUUCCAUUGUAUAUAUACACGACAUCUUCUUAAUUCAUUCAUCUGUUGUUGGACAUCUAGGUUCUUCCAUAGUUUGGCUAUUGUGGACGAUGCUGCUAUAAACAUUGGGGUGCACAUGCCCCUUUGGUUCACUACAUUUGUAUCUUUAGGGUAAAUACUGAGUCGUGCUAUUGCUGGGUCAUAGGGUAGCUCUAUUUUCAACUUUUUGAGGAAACUCCAUACUGUUUUUCAGAAUGGCUACCCCUUGCAAUUUUUAAAUAUGCAGUGUAUUAUUAGCUAUAAUCACUAUAUACCCUCAUGACUUACUUUAUAACUGUCAGUUUGACUCCCUUCACCCAUUUCUCCCACACUCAACCCUCACCUCUGGCAACCACCAACUUGUUCUCUGUACUUUUGAGUUGGAUUUUUUGGUUUUGUUUUGGUUUCAUUUUUUAAUUCUUCAUAUAAGUGGAAUCAUAUGGUAUUUGUCUUUUUUUGAAUUAUUUCCCAUAGCAUGAAUGUCUUCAAAGUCCACCCAUGUUGUUUCAGAGGGCAGGGUUUUUGUUUUUUU